AAGAGCGUUGAAGCAAAAGGUUGCUGUUAUAAAUUACAGGUUUUUUUGCAGAGCGAUGUCCAGUUCAAGAAACGGGCGACAA
rnacentral:ncRNA from 1 species